GUUGCAACUUACACAAAUCCCUAUCAGGGAUUGCAAC
rfam:Fischerella sp. JSC-11 ctg105, whole genome shotgun sequence.